rnacentral:lncRNA from 1 species
AGACUACUCGAAAGGAGGCUUCCUAGCAGCACUAGAGUGGGAUAAGUAAUCCUUGCCUUAGGUCAAUCCCUUCCCCUACUCAGGCAAGCAACAGACCCUUUUUAACAACCUCUUAUGAUUUAUUCACUUCCUCCAGCAUUAGCUUCCUUCUUACCUAUGAUAUCCCCAAGAGCUAAUUCGAUAGCAGUUGCAUCGGAGCUAGCUUGGAAAGAGAGGAGGCAUCCUUAUCUGAGCCGAUCGUUAGCCUAUUUCUUCUUCUCGAGUGAAGUAGCUUACUCUUGCUCUGUGCGCUAGGGAGACAGACUAUGCUUAGUACUCAUUUACUUUUGCGCUGUG